CUACCAGCCCAGCACGGCACAAGUGCGUCCAAAUAUAAUAAGCUAGGCACAAUAUACAGAAGAGUCUCACACACACACACACACACACUACUAUUACUUGUGAGGUCCGACACACUAGUUACUUAUCAGGUCCAACUAAGUCCACAUAACUUAGGUGACUACAGUGUCACUGAGAGACAGAUAGCUAUUCAGGGGUUCAUUACUGACCAACAAAUCUUCACACGCAACUCUUAGGUGACUACAGUGUCACUGAGAGACAGAUAGCUAUUCAGGGGUUCAUUACUGACCAACAAAUCUUCACACGCAACUCAGUUCCACCGACAACAAGUGGGCCUUCAGCUUUGUCGUUGAUCCUUGGGGAGAAUGAUAUGCGCUCAGAUUUACCAUCACUUGUCUGUGCAGCAAUCAUGAGCAAAUCCUUAACAUAGACACAUACAACAUGUCGCAAAAGCUUGAGGUCUCCACAAUUGUCAACAGUCAUCGCAUCAGCCUCUUUGCUAUCGUAGAGCACAAGCUCGUUGCACAUGUUGGCAGUGUUGGCAGUGAUUCUUCCAUGAAAACUUCCCUGCACAACUUCAACUGCAAUAGUUCCCUCCAGUGCACGAUCCACGACUGAAUAAUACACAUCCACAGUACUGAGCCUGGUUGCAAGAGAUUUGGUUGCAGACGUGUAUCCCUUCUCAAAUAGACGAGCUGGUGUGCCCCUGAUGAUUAUCAGUCCUUUACUAAGUUCUCUGUCCUGGACUAGGUCAUCCUUCAUCUUGAGAUCAGUCUCCACAUAGAUAUCUCCUGCCAAUGCAAGGCCGCGUUUUGGCCCAGUCAAGAUCAGUGAUUCAGACUACAGCAGAGGUUUAUUUACAGGAUAUACGUCAGUGACACAUGAAUUAUGUCUACAAAUAAAUAGUGCUGAAAAAAAAUUAUAGCCACUGUAUUAUAAGUAAUUAUGCUGUUGGGUACGUAUAUAGCUAGCUAGCUGAUGAAAAUGUCAAUGGCAUGGGAUCCGAAGCAAUAGAUGCAACAGUUGAUCUAUAACAUCCAGGAUCUCUCUCUAUCUUUUUCCUACAAAAAGAGCAGCGCUAAACGACAAAAGUGUAACAAGAAGCAUAUAUAUGUGUCUUUCUGAAAGUAUGGAUUUUAUUAGGCAGCAAGCAUUAUGGUGCCUACCUACAGUCGUGGUUACACUGUCCAGCAUGCAAAAUAGGAAUUGGUUACAGGCAGGUCAGGUAAGUAUAUCAGUCUUAAUCUUUUCUCUAUAUAUACACGAGUGAAAAUAAAAACAAGGCGGUAAUGCACAACUAGUACGAAAGGAAUACCUCAGAACUGAUGAGUUGGCAAUUGUCACUGUCGCGGCGGAAGUGAUAAACACACCUCUCAUCGAUGCUGUCCCUGACAAUGAUAGUGCCAUAGACAUGGAUUGGGUAGCCAACAUCAGAACAGCCUAUCUUGACAGACAGGAAGUUUACUGCCUUACACAGGCGGAGAAAGUAGCUCUCUUUUUUGUAAGGGGAAUCGAUAUGUCUCAUGGGACCAAUGGGUGCUGUCAUGCAUGCAAAGGAAAUUAAUGAAUGAGAUACUAGAUCAUCAGUUGCAUCUAUAUAAUCAUCAUGCCUAAUUGGAACUGAAGUGAAGAUGGGUACAAAUUAAUAAUGUGGAGAAGUGGAAACCAUCGUACAGGAGUGAAAAUUUAGCUCCAAUUAGUCCAAAACCCAAAUACAUAUCUAUUACGAAAAUUCUAGCAUGUGGAAUCAAUACUGUACAGGAGUGAAAAAUUUAGCUCCAAUUAAUCCAAAACCCAAAUAGAUAGAUAGGGAACAACAAAAAUCAAUUUGCAGUUGCAGAACUAAUUCAAAGGAACAAUUAUUAGUUGCAUAUUGUUACAUAUCUAUUACAACAUAAAUACUAUAGUUGCCGAAUUAAUCAAUUUGUCGGAUUGAACUGCAACGGGUGGGUGGGUGGGUGGCAUGCAGAACAUGCAAAAGGAUGGAUGGAAUUGAAACAAUGGAAAGGCAAGGCAAGUGCGGCGGGCCAGAGACUUACACUCCUCGUCGAGGUUGAAUCUGAUGAGGCCGCCGCUGGUGUAUCGGCUGUAGUAGAGGCCCCCCUGCUUGGGAUCGAAGUCGACGAUGCGAGCAGAGGCCUGGAUCGACUGACCCCUGGGGUCGCCUUCAUGCAUAAGGCGGAGCCCAUACUUGACCUCGAUGCUCCUCACCCUCUCCGCCGCCUCCGCUCGCUCGGCCUCGGUCAUGCAUGAGAAAUCCGGCUGCGGCGACAUCUCAAGGACGAGCCGACGAACCUCCUCUCGCAAGGCCGUGCGCUCUUCCUUGAGCCUGCCCACCUCCUCCUCUGACAAAUCUUUGUCCAUCGCCAACCUCUUGGAUAUGGACCCUAUCUUCUUAAAGUUCGCCUCCUCGCGGUACUCCACCUCUCGCAGCUCUUCAUACCACGCCGCCGCCGCCGCCACAGCCAUCGCCGCCGCCACAGAGCUAGAACAAGCCGAUCGAUCUAGGGUUUGCAAGUGGGGAUGCGGCACCGAUGGGAGGGGGCCUGCUGAGUCUUAUUAUUUGGAGAUGAUAGCCCGUCGGCCUCCUUUUUUUUUUUCUUUUUCUUUUCUCUAUCUACGGGGCCUGCCUAUAAUAAUAACCACGUUUCAAGCCCAACUCGGAAGGAAGGAAUGUCUCCAGCCCAGCCCAGCCCAUCACCCAAUCCAGUCUUUUAAGGCCUCCUGUCUAGGCUAGAUUACAAAAAGCAAAAAGAAAAGGGUCGAUAUUACCUCCCUCAACUGAAUUCCGAAACCUCUCUCAACUUUGUAAACCGCUCACCUUACCUCCUGGCCCUGUUAUAAGCAACUUUUUUUCUUUUUUAUUUAUUUCAGCUGAAUCUUCAAAAAAAUUAUAGUAAACCACAUGAAACAAAAAAUCAUAAGAUAGAAUUGGAUUUUUUUUUUAUUUAUGAUUUUUUUUCUAUCACUUACUAUGGUUUUUCCUAGGAUCUGCCAAAAUGGUGGUCCUUAUUAAUAUCCCUGGAGAAAGAUCAAAACACUUGGUUGCUACCUUUGGUUGCUCUAUUGGGAGUCUACCUUUCAUUUAUCUUGGUUUACCUCUUGGUCUCACCAAGCCAAGAAUUGAAGACUUCCUGCCAUUAAUAACUAGAUGUGAGAGGAGAUUGAACAGCACUUUCCUAUUUCUUUCUCAAACUAAGAAGCUGCAAAUGGUUCAUUUUGUUUUCACCUCACUCCUUACUUUUUUUCAUGGGCACCUUCCUCCUUCAUUCUUCUGUAAGGGAACAUGUGGAUAAAUAUAGAAAGCAUUGUUUGUGGAGAGGCUAUGAUGAAAAUAGUAGGAUUAAUGCUAAAGCUACCUGGCCAAUUGUUAGCAGGCCAAAAAAUGAUGGUGGUUUAGGAAUUAUUGAUUUAAACUAGUAUAGUGCCCGUGGCACGCCACGGUUUUAUUCUAGGGUGUACUUAAAAAGAACCAAAAACCAUUUUUUCGAUAGUUUAAGUCACAUUCCAUUCUAGAGAAUGCUAAUGUAUAACAAGGCACAAUAAAAUCAUAUCUCGUAUAAUUCAACUAAUUUAUCUAUUGAAGUGGAACUUGGAGUUCUCCAGGAUAUUAUAUGUAUAUUCAUUUGUGCUGCUCUUUAAAAUAUUCACUAUAAAUUCUGUUCUCAGUGAAUGUGACCUAUGUGAAUGAUAGAUAAUAAAUUAACUUAUUAAUUUUCUAUAUAGGCUAUAAGAUAUACAUAGAAAUUAUAUAAGCUUACAGUAUCGAUAAACGUCAGUCUUUCACCAUUCCAUGACUUUAUGAAGUUGUAUACAAGGAAGCCUCCUAAUUUCCUAUCGAAGAAGAGAGAAAGUGUUUGCUUGUUGUAGAUAAAAUCAAAUGACUAUUUGAUAAGAAAGAUAAAAAAAUCAAAAUAAGCUUCUUGGAUGAUUUUUUUAAUUCACGACGCCAGACAAAGAUUUUGUCGUUCCAUAUAGGAUUUGCCAAUUUCAUAGCGAGAUUGAAAUGAUUCAAAAUAAUAUUUAGUAUAGUUAUAUAUGACUAAGGAAGGUGUCCUAUAAGCUGAAUACGUUUCUCCAACAGUCAUAGUCUGCGGAUAUUUCAGCACGGUUGAAGUAAAUAGUGCAAGGACCCGUGAACAAAAAUAAACAUCAUAUUCUUAUACCACGCAAGAAUAGUGAAGAUCAUGCACCUGAUUGAUCUAGUGCAUAUGAAAGUACACUUGUUUCAGCCUUUCGGCGAGCACAAUACUCACGCUGCCUCGUAUUUAUCUCCUCUUGUUCCUCGUCCAUUUCUUGAGACCUUUUUCUAGCACGGUACUCAUGUCGUUUCCUAUUCCUUUCCUCUUUCUUGAGUUGUUCUUCGUUGCAAGCUGUGGACAUACAUGUUUCUUAUUUAUGACAUUGUAUAUAUAUCUCAUUGCAAUAUGUGUAUAUUUACGUACCUAGAGUAUGUAUGGUUGUUACAUUGCUAAGCGCAAUGCGUCCCUCUCUUGGCGUUCCCAUUUUCCGUGGAGGACUGGUAAGUAAUAAUGUGAACAUUCAUAUAUAUGUUACUCGUUUUGAGAAUAGAGUGAGGAUCGAGGAAUGACAACAAAGCAUCACUGAAAAAAGAAAUAUGCUUUGAGAGGCGGUGCAAUGUACAUGUGAGAUCCUUUUUUUUAUUUUAAUUGUACACCCAAUUCAGUAAUUCAGCCAUAGCAAUAUUUUUAUUAUUAUUAGUAGUAUUAUAUAUAUAUAUAUAACUUGGAUCUAAUGCAUAUUUUUUAUUUUAGUUGUACACCCAAUUCAGUUGUUUAGUCUUUCAUUUUUUUCAUUUAUUUAGUAUGUAAGUCCUUGCAAAGGCAAGAGAGAAAAUAAAUUGAACUGUCCCUUUUAACACCAAUUGAGAAGACAUGGCUCCAACGUUUUGGUUUGAAAUUUGUAGAAUCAAAACGCAAUAACUCUGAAGAAGAGACGCCUAAGCACUGCAAUAGAUGAACAGGGGCAGCAAGCAGCACCGACAAUGUGCGACAAUGGUAAAAGGGUGGAGGUCUGCAUGCACCUGAUCUGCACUGCCGAACCUGCCCCCGAAUGGGGGCAGAAUGUGUGGAUGCCUGAGACUCCACCGGCCACCGAAAGUGUGGAUCCCUGACCUGCAAUAGUCUCGCUCGGCGAUGGUGUGAUUAGCAGAUUUUUUGCAUACUGUGAGCAGCAGGAGCCCUUCGUCCUCCAAGAUCACAACGAAGACAGCGCCACGGCAGAUCGCACGCCGGCCGCCGCGUCAGUGACGGAGGAGACUGCUGCGCGGGAGCACAGCGGCCACCUUCACCAAGCUUGCUCCCUGCCGCGGCAGAGGCGAGCGUCGGGAUUAGCAGCGUCAGGCGCGAUGGAUGGAGCAGUCGAGCACGUGAUUAGCGGCGGCGGCAGGUGUUUUUGAGUUUUUGUGGGGGCGGGUGGGAGAGGCCGAGGAGGUUGACACAAGCAAUCUUGGUCCUUGGAUUUGAGUAAGGCCUUGUUUAGUUCAAAAAAAUUUUGCAAAAUUUUUCAGAUUCCCCGUCACAUCGAAUCUUUAGACACAUGCAUGAAGUAGUAAAUAUAGACAAAAAUAAAAACUAAUUGCACAGUUUGGUCGAAAUUGACGAGACGAAUCUUUUGAGUCUAGUUAGUCCAUGAUUGGACAAUAUUUGUCAAAUACAAACGAAAUAGCUACAGUGUCAAUUUUGCAAAAUAUUUUGGAACUAAACAAGGCCUAAGGAGAGAGAAUGCUCAAAUUAAAUCUAGACAGUCCAUUUUGAAGAUGUUGUAUUUCUGGGUACACUUUCCUGGGUGGAUAAAGAUAGGGCUUCUCAGCGGGGGACGUUUUCUGGUGUGGAGGUAGAAAAGAAAAACUCGGUGCAUUAUUAGGGUAGAAACACAAAAUGAAGCUCUCCUUUUGAAACAUUUGCAUAAAAUUUUCAACAGAGUUGAUGUCCCUUGGAUUCACCUAGUAUGGGAGAAACACUAUUCUAGUGGCAAACUUCCCUGUCAUAUCAAAAAGGGCACCUUCUAGACGAGUUUAAGGGCUUAGCCUCUGUUUUUUGUUGAAGAUGGAGCCUCCUAUCUCUUCUAGGAUGAUUUUUGGGCAGCCCCUAAAAUUGUCAUUCCCAAAGUUGUUCUCCUUUGCUAAAAACCCAAUAUUUCUAUCAAGAAUGCAAUGAGUGUAACUCUUUCAUCAGGUCUCUUCAGUCUUCCAAUGUUUGUGGAAGCCAUUGCCCAGUUUCAUGAAGUGCAAGAAAUGCUACAAUCUUUUGUCCCCACCUAUUGAUUCUUGGCACUAUAUUUUGGGGCAGUUUCACUUUCACUUUUAAAAAAGCUUAUCUUCAUCUAUUGAGCUCUAGUGGGGCUGCACCAAUCUUUAAAUGGAUUUAGAAAUCCUCGUGUCAACCGAAGCACAGUCUUUUUCUGGCUACUAAUUCAAGACAAGCUUAGCACUCGAAAUAUUUUGAGGAGAAAGAAUAUGUAUCUGCCAUCCUACAGCUGUGUGCUUUGUUCUUUGAAUAAUGAAGAGACUACGAAUCAACUCUUUUUUGAAUGUAAUCUUGCAAGAGAUUGUUGGGGCCUAAGUGGGCUAACUGUGAUUAGUUCACUAGACCCACUGCAAAGAUUUGAGAGUUUCAGAAUGCAUAUUGACAGUAGAUUCUUCAUAGAAAUCAUCAUUAUCAUGUGUUGGAGUCAUCAUUAUCAUGUGUUGGAGCAUUUGGACUGUAAGAAAUGAUGCAAUCUUUUAGAGGAAUUCCUGUUAGCAGCCUGCACGACAUGCUCGGGCAGACUUACCGCACUGACUACGUCAAUAGGCUCAACGUCACCGCCAAGAUGCCCGUCAUGGGAGGCGCCGACACCUUCCGCUCCUAGGGACUCUUCGACGCCUACUGCGCGCAGUGCCGACUCUGAGUUUUUUGAGGUCCAGGGUGAAACAAAAAUCUGGGGCCCUUUAUAUACAUAUAUGUAGGUCUUGUUUAGUUAGGUCUUAUUAGUUCACCCUAAAAACCAAAAACUUUUUAAGAUUUCGUGUCGCAUCUAAUCUUACGGAACAUGCAUGAAGCACUAAAUGUAGUCAAAACUAAAACUAAUUACACAAUCUGCCUCUAAAUUGCGAGAUAAAUCUUUUGAGCCUAAUUAGUCCAUAAUUAGACAAUAAUUGUCAAAUAAAAAUAAAAAUGUAGGAUCUCUAGUAGUCUAGGAUGGCCUAGAGGGGGUGAAUAGGCCUGUCAACUCAAAACUUCACUUUUUAUCAGUUUCACAGGACAGGGUGGCACUGUCGGCCUCUACACAGAGAGCUAAAGAAUAUAUUCAAGAAUAAGUUUGGGAAACUUGGAUCAGGUAAAUUUCCCAGCUCCCUACAAAUUAGUAAUCACCAGAACCAACACACAAACUGUCGGCGUCUAGACUCGUGGUCUAGACAUAAACGAAUAUAAAUAUGCGUGACUACCUAAACCUGGAUGGUGAUGCAAGUAGAACACAGAGGAUUUAUACUGGUUCGGGCCAAGAAUGCCCUACGUCCAGUGAGAUCGGGGGUCUGUAUUGCCUUGCACCCAGAGGUGCUUGUAGUAGGGGGGUACAAGCAGGUUGCGAGAGAGGGUUAAGUCCCAAGUCUCGGCUUUGUGGUGGACAGAGUGCUGGUUGCUACUCUGUGAGCGAGUGCGGUGGUCGUGUGUGUGUGAACUUGGUGAACCUGGACUUAGUUGUGAGCCCUGGCUCCCCUUUUAUAGCCUCAAGGGGAGACAGGUAUUUACAUGAGUAGAUUUCCUCUGUUGAAUGGUGAAGCCACAGUCCCGACCCUGUUGAAGCCUGUCCAUCUCGUCCUUGAGGGAUGGCUGACAGCAUGGUUGCUUCUGUGGAGGGUUACCGAGCCCUGUAGGAGUCAUGAGGGUCAGAUCGGUGAUACUGCUGAUCACCCUGUUAAUAGUGGGAGAAGACAGCAAACAGUGACGCUGGUUAACCUUCCCCAUUCCUCUUUUACUGUGAGGCAGUACACCACAGUGAAAGAGGUAAGGUUGCAUAGUGGAAGAGGUAAGGCUACAGUGACCAGGGUGGUUGGAAUAGUCGCCACCAUGCCCUGUUGCGAUAUGGGAGUCACUGCGGCUGUCACAUCGAGGGUACGGGCGCCGUGCGUCGGAAGCCUUGUCCUGAUGCGGUGGAGCGGCGUUUGGCGCCCAAGCCCCGGAGGGGUCGGGUGAGACGGAACUUACGUCCGAGGCCCAGGGGGUCGGGCGAGGCGGUGUCUGCGUCCGAGCCCUGGGGGGUCGGGCGAGACGGUGUCUGUGUCCGAGCCCUGGGGGGUCGGGCGAGACGUGUUUUGGGCUCGAGAUUGAGGAUGCAGAUGGACUGGGGCCUGCGUCCUGGUGAUCUUGUCGGGGCUUGCUUUGCUUUUUGCGAUUUUUUGUUGCUCUGAUCUGGGUAUCCCUUUUUAUGGUACCCAACAGUAGCCCUCGAGCCUUUGAAGGGGUGAGGUCACCUCUUCAAAGGUUCUUUUCUAAGGGACCAUUGUUGGCCAGGAAUUUUCUUUAUUUUUCUCCGGAGGGUGCGCGCGAGCGCACCCACCGGGUGUAGCCCCCGAGCCUUUUGGAGGAAUAGCAUUUAUUCCUUCAAAGGCUUUUACCCCUGAGUGAUGCGGUCGGGAGUAUUCGAGGGACCGGUUGUGUGUUCUUUACACGCAGUGCCUAUUCCCAUGGUGCGAGGAAGCCCCCGAGCCCUUUCCCCGCAAGGGUCGAUCAGGUUCUUUCUCGUCUUAUAAUUACGUCCCUCAUUCUUCCUUUCGCUCGGAGGAGGGGGUGGGUUGUGUCGUACUACCCUCGAUGGGCGAGUAGUGACACUUCCCUGGGAGCUGCAAGCGGGUAAAUCCAAGUGGAUGUCCGAGUCCCAUUCGAUAGGGGUCGGCUAGCGGCCUUAUGGGCACAUCUCAAAAUACCCGAGGGCAGUCACGGUGGAUCUCGGAACCGUUCGCCAGGUCCCGAGGGCUCGGUGCCUCCCUCGAUGGGAUCCCACUCGCGUGACACCCGCAUGGGUCUCGGAUAUGAUUGGUAAAGAUGCGCCGACCCCGUAUGGGGUUCGGACCGUGGCCUCUAUUGUGCUCAUCUUCAAUCAUCCCUCGCUCAGUCAUCCUGAGGCGACUGUUCGAACCUGUUCUUGUAGGUCAGCCUCGCAACCUCUGGAACGUAGGUGGCCAUGGCCUGGGGAUUUUUAGCCUUGAAAAGGCUUUUUCAGACUAGUUUGUAAUGUCAGGGUCGGGCGAGACGGAAUCUGCGCCUGACGGGAACCGCCUUGUGGUUUUCGCUCGGGGUCAUCAGGGGGUCGGGCGAGGCGAAAGCCGUGCCCAACGGAGACCGCCCCACGAUGUUUGGUCAGCGGGGGGUCGAGCGCCGCUUCUCUGGGAAGGAAGCGCCCUGACAUAACUUUUCAGAGCGCUUCUUUUGAGGCGCGGCGCGUGGGGAAUCGAAACGGCUGUGCCGUUGUGCCCUGAUCGGAUGGGACGUUUCACCUGCGAAAUUAAUGCGCGCGUGCGGCGGGCGUGAGAAUCGGAGGGAGUUGGCGCUUCGAAUUUUUCACCUGGUGGGGAGUGGGCGACGGUUGCUCUUUUUGCCCUCUUGGUCUUCUGCGAGCGACGCGGUCGUGGCAUACUUCCUCUAUAAAAGCCGCCGCGGGGGACUUGGUUUCUUUCCUCCCACUCUUGCGAAAAGAAGCUCUCGCCUCCUGCCUUUUCUCCUGCCCCCAUCUUCUCCACUUCCGCCGCGUAAACAUCCCUGUUUCAUCCAACGCCAUGGCCGGCGUUGAGGCGUGGCCGCCCUGCAACGUGACCAAGUCUGCGUUGGACGCCCGCAUGAAGGCCGGGAUUCUCCGUCCCCUUACGGACGUCGAGCUGCCAGAGUGGAUCGUUCCUUCGGCGAACGACAGGGAGCCAAACCCGCCCCCGGGCUAUGUGGUUUGCUUCCUGUCGUUCUUAGACCGGGGGUUCGGAACUCCGGCCGGUCGACUGAUCCGGGCGAUCCUCCACUACUACGAGGUGGAGUUACACAACCUCAACCCCAACUCGGUGAUGUAGGCGUCCGUCUUCGCCACGGUGUGCGAGGGGUUCCUAGGGGUUCCCCCCCAUUGGAACCUCUGGCUUCACCUUUUCAAGGCGGAGAUGUCCGCCCGCUACGUUGGAGGGGAGAAGUUCCCCCUACGGGUCGGCGGUUGUACGUUGAAGCUCCGCCAGCAGCGGUCCUCCCAGUACAUCUGGAGUGCGAUGCCCUCGUCGAACCGGGGGUGGCAGAAUGGGUGGUUCUACCUCUAAAACGACGGCGGGCUGCUCCCGACAUACACCGGGAAGAUGGUGACGGAAUCCCCCCAAAAGUGGGUGUGGGGUGCUCCCACGGGGGAGCAGAAGAAACUCGCCCCUCUUCUUGCGGGGCUUGAGAAGCAGCGGGACGCCCGUGUUACCGCGGCCACGGUGGCGACGGCGUUUCACAAAAGGAGUCUGCUUCCGCUGGCGCAGCGGCGAGCAUUUAUGUUCGAGAUGACUCGGGACGUCCCUUGGGCCGGAACGAAGAUGUUGGCCGAGCCGAUAUCGGCGUCGGACAUCACCGCCCGGGUUGAGAAGACGACGCACCCGGAUAUGAAGAACUCCUGGGAGGUGCCCAUGCGCCCCGAGAAGGGCUACAUUUCUCUAGUAAGGUGUUAUCUUUCGCGCUUAUUUCCUUUUCCCCCCUGCCUCUUUCCUUGACCAUUGCUUGUUUACAAAGGAUGGGAAUCGUCAGGGAUUCCCUACCCCCCGCCCAGAGGACAAGGAGACCCAGGCCAAGAACCGGGCCCGGAAUGAGGAACAGAAGAAGGCCAAGGAGGACAAAAAGGCCAAGGCAGCGCGAAAAGCGCAACGGCGGGAGAUCUCCACCAAGAACCAUCGUGAAGCCGAGAAGGCGGGGGUCGCCCCGCCCCCCUCUCCCGAGACUUCGGUCUCGGAGAUAGAAGGUGGGGGAGAUGACGCCGACUGGCUUGACGAGUUGGCGGAGGAGGAUGACGUGAUCCCCCCUGCCGGCGGGGGGAUCGAGAUCCCAGAGGGGUCGAAGGCCCGAGGGGGGUCUGAGGCCCUCGAGGGGUCCCAGGCGCCGGGGGGCGGGCAGACCGUCCCCCACAUUAUUGUGGAUGACGAGGACAGCGCCCCUCGGGAGGGUUCAGUCCCCGUGGGUCCCCAGGAGGGGGAGAAGGCGUCAAGGGGCAGAUCCGAGGUGCUCCCACAACCGGUAGCGCCAGAGAGCCUGGUCGAGCCCCGCCCGGCAUCCGGGGCAGAAGCGAGCGGCUUGGUGGAGGCGUCGCAGGCCGAGACUACCGUUGAGGUCCCCGCGCCAUCCGCUGGCGAGACGGGGGUCCGGCCAACGGCCCCUGGCGCCUCGGGAGGCCCCUAAGGAGCUCCAAGCUCCCAGAAGAAGGCUGCCCCCCGAGCGAGGUACGUAUAGGAUUUCUGAUCCUUUCGUUGAUUUUUUGUUUUUCUCUUUCUUUUGAUUCGUGUUAUCUUUUUAGCCGGAAGCAGAAGACGAUGCCAGUGGCAUUGGCCCCCCUGAAGGCCGUAAAGAGGGGGGCACAAUCGACCCCUGGGUCGGCAAGGCCGAAGUCACCGCCCCCUCUGAGCCGCGAGGAGGAGGAGGAGCGCCGACGGGGGCAGGAGACGGGGGCGCCAUGACGCCAAGGACCAGGGGAGACGGCUCGUACCCCCGGGGCUAUGCCUCCUUCUGCGGGUGCGGGUUCGGGCAGCGUGGUCCGGCCUGUGCAAGUUGAGGGAUGUCGGGCCAUCGUGGCGUCCAGCACGGCGCCUGAGGCCCCUACUGCAGGAGGGGAAGGCGACGCCCGAUGGGGCAAGAGCCUCGUAUUCUGGCCCAACCUCGAGGACGUAGAGGGAGGGGCCAGAUUUGUUCUGGACGACCCGACGGAGGCUUACCUCUGGCAGGGUCUAGACACAUGCGGGCGUGCCAGCGUCGAGGCGAUCAAUCGAGCUUCUGAGCUCAUGAGCCGAGACAUGUACAACCUGGCCCAGGUAAGGCUUCCUCCCACGUUGUGAAAUGUUUUUUGCUUUAUUUUGCCAUUCUGACUCCCUGUGGGACUUCCGGUUUUGUAGGCGCUCAAGGCUACAUCCCUGGAGAAGUCAGUCUUUCUCCGCAGGGAAAGAGAUGCCUGGGCGACCUGUGAGAAUGAAAGUGCUGCUCGGGAGGCGGCUGAGGGGGAGCUCGCAAAGGAGUGCGAGAUCUCUGCCGAGCUUCAGCAGAAGUGCUCGGCACUGGCAACCGAGGCUCAGGAGGCCCGGGACAAGGUCGCCCCCCUAGAGGAGAGGGUCGGGGUCCUUACCCGGGAAUCCGAGGAGCAGAAGGCAGCGGCUGAGAGGUAUAAGGCCGAGGUUGCUCGGCUCGAGGCUUCGCUCGCCGAAAAAGACCUUGCCCUGAACCAGACUCAGGCCGACCUUGCUGCUGCUCAGAGUCAGGUGGCCCGCUGGCAUCGGAGCUCGGCGGAGAACGAGAAGCGAGCCGAGGGUAAGACCUGUGUUUUUUGCCUUGGUCCCCUUUGCGCUUUGGGUUAGUUUUCCUGACUUCUCAUUUUCUUGUUCUGCUUUUCUACAGAGUCAGAGAGGAAGGUGGUCGAGGCGACUUCUGCUGCCGAGGCCCUGCAGAGGUCCCUUGAUGCUGAGGUUUCGGACUGCUCGACUCUUGAAGCCGUGGUUACCUCGGCGUGCGAGGGGCUCGGGGUGCCGGCGUCGGGGUCGUCGCUGCGGAGUCGGUCGAAGCCCUUUACUCCCGAGCCGGGGAGAAGAUGAGGGAGGCGCUCCACGUCGGGGUAAGGAAAGCCCUGGCGGUGGUGAGCUCUCACUACGUCGACAUUGACUUGCCGGCAGUCUGUGAGGGCUACAUCCUUCCUGAUGAUGAAUCGGAGGUGAAAGGUCCUAAUAUGGCUAGAGGGGGGGGUGAAUAGCCUGUUUAAAAAAUCUACAAACUCACUAGAGCAAGAGGUUAGUAAAUAACAAAGCGAAGCUUUUUGCUCUAGCUCUAAUGGGGUGUUUGCAAGCCACCUAUCCAACAAAUCUAGUUGAUAGAAUCACUAGGCACACAAGACCUAUGUCACUACUUACACUAGAAAGCUACCUAUAGUUUCUAUACAAGUAAGUAAGCUACUCUAGUUUGCGGGAAUGUAAAAGAGAUGGUUUGAACUUUAUACCGCCACGUAGAGGGGAUGAACCAAUCAAUAAUAUGAAGUCCAAUCACCGGGAGAAAUCUAAAGUACAAUUACAAUGGAGACACACGAUUUUCUCCUGAGGUUCACGUGCUUGCCGGCACGCUACGUCCCCGUUGUGUCGACCAACACUUGGUGGUUCGGUGGCUAAGAGGUGUAGCACGAACCUCGUCUUCACUAGGACACCACAAGAACGUACCCACAAGUGAGGUAGCUCAAUGACAUGAGCAAUCCACUAAUGUUGCCUUUGGCACUCCGCCGAGGUAGGCACAAACCUCUCACAAUCACCGGGAGAUGGCCACGAACAAUCACCAACUCGUGCCAAUCCUCCUCCGCUGCUUCAAGCCGUCUAGGUGGCGGCAACCACCAAGAGUAACAAGAAAACCACAGCUAGAACGAUCCCCAAGUGCCACUAGAUGCAAUCACUCAAGCAAAUGCACUUGGAAUCACUCCCAAUCUCACAAAGAUGUAUAAUCUAUGAAGGAGAUGAGUGGGAGGUGUUUGCUUAGGCUCACAAGGAUGUCUAGUAUGUUAGAAUGCCAAGAGAGUGAGCCCCAAGCCGGCCAAACACGUAUUUAUAAGCCCCUCAAGCAAAUAGAGCCGUUGGCUCUUUUCACUGGGCAAACUGCGGGGUCACCGGACGCUCUUAAAGGGGCACCGGACGCUCAACACCAGCGUUCGGUGCUCCAAUGUUAGCCACGUGUCACACUCGUGUCAGAAUCUAACGGUCACCUGCAGUGCACCGAACGCUGAGCGAGUUAGCACCGGACGCGUCCGGUGCACACCGGACUCAUGCGCAGAGAAUUCCACAAACCUGCGGGUCACCGGACGCUAAGCACCGGUAGCGUCCGGUGCUCACCGGACCCAUGCGCAGAGAGUGUCGCAAAAUACCCGCACACCGGACGCUAACCACCGGACGCUCCAAGCUGCGUCCGGUGCCUAUCGUCCGGUGCCUAACCCUAACCGAGUCAGGCUGCCUACUCACCGGACGCACAGGAACAGCGUCCGGUGCUUCUGAGUCAGCGUCCGGUGAGUGUUCCUCAGCGAGAAACACUCCCGCGACUUCUCCAAUUUUCGCACCGGCACAAUAGAGAAUUUUCCUCUCUCAACCCUUCAAACUCCACCUCCUUCUCAAAGAGUGCCAACACCACAAAGUGUGUACCAACAAGUGUGCACGUGUGUUAACAUUUUCACAACCAAUUUUUUUCGAAGGAGUUAAGUUAGCUCACUAGGUUCUAAAUGCAUGCACAAGAACAAUGACACCUAGUGGCACUUGAUAACCGCUUAGCCAAAGAAUUCCCCUCUUUAUAGUACGGCUAUCUAUCCUAAAUGUGAUCACACCAUCUAUGGUGUCUUGAUCACCAAAACCAAAACCCUAAGUAAUACCUUUGCCUUGAUCUCCAUAGGGUUUUGUUUUUCUCUUUCUUCUUUUCCAAGUUGAGCACUUGAUCAUCUUGUGGUCAUCACCAUCAUCACCAUGAUCAUCACUUGCUCCAUCACUUGGCAUGUACCAACCUCAUUAAGUCUACACACACUUAGUAUAGAGGUUAGUACUAGAGUUUCAUCAAUUAUCCAAAACCAAACUAGGGCUUUCAGGAGGCCUAGGAGGAGGUGCAGAGGCUUGAAGAUGCCGCAGCCGCCCCAGGAGGUGUUUUGGCCGCCUUCUUCGACGAUGAGGUGGAGCUUCCCCCCCUCAGCGCGCAAGGGCCUACGCAGGCAGGGCAGCAAGGCUCUUUAAGUUAGAUUUCUUUUUCUUUUUUUAGAUGUUAAGGCCAGUGGGCCUUAUAUUGUAUAUACAGUGUUAAUGCUAAGUCUAUGUGAUUGUUCCUUUUAAGCUUUAAGUGUCUUGUUUUCUUUUUCCCUAUGCCGACCCGACCUCGACAACGCGAGGUCGGGUGAGCUACUUAGAGUCUGCGCUAGCCGGAGUCCCCAAGCCUAAGUCCUUUUCCUUUUUCCUUAGUAAUUUUUGGAAGUCCGGAUCCGUCCCCCGACCCUAAGGUGAGUAGAGGUCGUCUUUGCUUGUGAGCGCGGAUCUUUCCUCGGGCUCAUACCUUAAGACUUAGGGGAUGGAUCUUUCAGUUUCCUAAAUCUUUUUAGGAAAUGGGGAAAGACCUUGGUCGGGGUUCUCUUGGCUUGUGCGAAAAAAGAAAAAAGAAUUGGAGUUGCCACAGGGGGUUCCCCCCUAUGUAGCCCCCGAGGAAGACUCGGAUUCUGUAAGGCAGGUCCGAGGCUUACUUAAAAAGAAGUGGUCGUAUAAUUUAAACUUUUAUUUAUUCUUUCAAGGUGAUGAACAAAUGGAAAUUUUUACAAAGUUCUAAGGGUAAAAGCGACGUAGCUGUUCUAUGUUCCACGCGUUUUUGAAGACCUCCCCUGCUUCGUUGGCGAGCUUGUAGGUGCCGGGUCGGAGGACUUCGGCGAUGACGAAGGGCCCUUCCCAGGGGGGUGUGAACUUGUGAUGACCCUUGUUGCUCUGCCUGAGCCUCAGCACCAAGUCGCCAACUUGAAAGGCUCGGCCUCGGAUUCGUCGCGUAUGGUAACAGCGGAGGGCUUGCUGGUACUUGGCGGAGUGUAGGAGGGCUACGUCUCUGGCCUCAUCCAGCUGGUCCAGCGCGUCUUCUUGGAACGUUUUGCAACUAUUUUCGUCGUAGGCUUGUACCCUUGGAGAUCCAUACUCCAGAUCCGUGGGGAGGACGGCUUCCGACCCAUAGACCAUGAAGAACGGGGUGAAGCCUGUAGCUCGGCUUCGAGAAGUCCUUAGACUCCAGACCACGGCCGGUAGCUCCUUGAGCCAUCUUUUUCCAAACUUGUUCAACCGGUUGAAAAUCCUAGGUUUUAGACCCUGGAGGAUCAUGCCAUUGGCACGCUCCACUUGACCGUUAGUCUUGGGGUGAGCUACUGCUGCCCAGUCCACACGUAUGUGGUGUCUAUCGCAGAACUCUAGGAACUUUCGCCCGGUGAACUGUGUGCCGUUAUCGGUGAUUAUGGAGUUCGGCACUCCAAAUCGGUGGAUAAUAUCUGUGAAGAACAGCACUGCUUGUUCGGCCUUGAUCCUUGUAAUGGGUCGGACCUCAAUCCACUUGGAGAACUUGUCAAUCGCGACAAGUAAGUGGGUGAAGCCCCCGAGCGCUUUCUGCAGAGGCCCGACCAGGUCGAGCCCCAGACAGCAAAAGGCCAGGUGAUGGGGAUCGUCUGCAGGGCCUGAGCGAGGAGAUGAAUCUGCCGAGCGUAAAACUGGCAUCCCUCACAGGUCCGCACGAUCUCUGUGGCGUCGGCCACGGCGGUGGGCUAGUAGAAACCUUGGCGGAAGGCAUUUCCUACCCGCGUUCGAGCCGCGGCGUGGUGGCCACAAGCCCCUCAGUGUAUGUCCUGUAGGAGCUUGAUUCCCUCCUGACGUGGGAUGCAACACAUAAGGAUGCCCGAGGGGCUGCGCUUAUACAUUUCCCCAUCGAGGAGGACAAAAGUCUUGGCCCGACGAGCCACACGCCUUGCCUCAGCCUGGUCUAGGGGUAGAGUGCCAUCGACGAGGCGUUGCAGCAGGGGGUAGCGCCAGUCUGGCGAGUCGUCAGGUGCAGGGGGCUCGGGCUCGAUGUCCAUGGCCUCCUGCUCCUGAACGGUGGAGUCCUUGGGGUCAGGGCCUGGUUCGCUUGGGGGUUUAUCCGACCCCCCGUCGUCCUUGUAGUCAACAGAGGGCUUGUAGAGGUCGCUGAUGAAAACAUCUGGAGGGACCGUGGCCCGCUCGGAUGCCAUUUUGGCGAGCGUGUCGGCGGCCUCAUUGUAUUUCCUUAACACGUGGUUAAGCUCGAGGCCGUCGAACUUUUCCUCUAGACACCGCACUGCCAUGCAGUAUGCAUCCAUCUUGGGAUCGUGACACCAAGACUCUUUCAUGACUUGGUCGAUGAUGAGCCUAGAAUCGCCUCGGACGUCAAGCCGCUUGAUCCCAAGCUCGAUCGCAAUAUGGAGACCGUUGACCAGGGCCUCAUACUCCGCUGCAUUGUUUGAGGCGGGGAAGUGGAGUCGGAUUAUGUAUCACAUCCUUACCCCGAGAGGUGAGAUGAAGACGAGGCCGGCGCCAGCCCCGGUUUUCAUCAAAGACCCGUCGAAGUACAAGGUCCAGCACUCGUGCUGAAUUUGUGGUGGGGGGAGCUGAGUCCCAGUCCAUUCUGCCACAAAAUCCGCUAGGACUUGGGAUUUUAUGGCUUUCCGAGGCUCAUAGGUGAUUCCAUCACCCAUAAGCUCUAUAGCCCACUUAGCAAUUCUACCAUUGGCUUCUCGGUUUUGAAUCACUUCCCCUAGAGGGAAAGAUGACACUACCGAGACCGGAUGAGACUCAAAAUAAUGGCGGAGCUUGCGUCGGGCCAAGACUACUGCGUAAAGCAGUUUUUGGAUUUGGGGUAUCGGGUCUUUGUGUCAGACAGUACUUCACUGAUGAAGUACACCGGUCUUUGGAUCGGCAGGGCAUGCCCUUCUUCCUUCCUUUCGACCACGAUAGCUGCGCUGGCCACUUGAUCAGUGGCUGCGACAUAGAGAAGAAGCGGUUCCCCCUCGGCGGGGGGUACCAGAACGGGAGGGUUGGUGAGCAGAGCCUUGAGCUUGUCAAGGGCUUCCUGGGCCUCGGGGGUCCAGGAAAAAUGCUCGGAUUUCCUAAGUAACCUAUACAGAGGUAGCCCUUUUUCCCCGAGUCGAGAGAUGAAACGACUUAGAGAGGCUAGACAUCCCAUGACCCUCUGUACUCCCUUUAGGUUACGAAUUGGGCCCAUGUUUGCGAUGGCCGAGACAUUUUCUAGGUUGGCCUCAAUCCCUCGCUCAGACACAAUAAAUCCAAGGAGCAUGCCUUGGGGGACCCCGAAAACGCAUUUCUCGGGGUUGAGUCUGAUCCCCUUUGCCCUGAGGCAUCAGAACGUUCCUUCCAGGUCAGCAACUAGGCCACUUGCUUUCCUGGAUUUGACAACAAUGUCGUCUACAUAAGCCUCUACCGUUUUGCCUAUGAGGUCCCCAAAGACUUGGAGCAUACAUCGCUGAUAUGUAGCCCCCGCGUUCUUGAGGCCAAAGGGCAUGGUUACGUAGCAAUACAUUCCGAAAGGGGUGAUGAAAGAAGUCGCGAGCUGGUCGGACUCUUUCAUCUUGAUUUGGUGGUAACCGGAAUAAGCAUCAAGAAAAGAUAAAAUUUCGCAUCCCGCAGUGGAGUCAACUAUUUGAUCGAUGCGAGGUAAUGAAAAGGGGUUCUUAGGACAUGCUUUAUUUAAACUAGUAUAGUCUGGACACAUCCUCCACUUCCCAUUUUUCUUCUUGACUAGUACAGGGUUAGCUAACCACUCGGGAUGGAAUACCUCCUUGAUGAAUCCGGCCGCCAGCAGCUUGUGGAACUCCUCCCCGAUGGCCCGGCGCUUCUCCUCAUCGAAUCGGCGCAGGCGUUGCUUCACGGGUUUGGAGCCGACUCGGAUGUCCAAGGAGUGACCGGCGACUUCCCUCGGUAUACCAGGCAUGUUCGAGGGACUCCACGCAAAUAUAUCGGCAUUUGCGCGGAGAAAGUCGACGAGCACCACUUCCUAUUUGGGGUCGAGGCUGGAGCUGAUCCUCAGCGCCCUACCCUCAGAGGUCUCGGGGUCGAAGAAGACUAGCUUGGUCUCUUCCGCCAGUUCGAAGCUCCCGGCGUGACGCUUGGGGUCGGGGACGUCCUGGUCACAGUCGCCGAGGCCGGUGAGAAUGGCCAGAGACUCAGCUAGGGCCUCGGCCUGCUCAAUGCACUCGACGUCGCACUGAUAGGCAUGCUGACUGGUCGUGCUAACGGUGAUGACGCCCUUUGGCCCUGGCAUCUUGAGCUUGAGGUAGGUGUAGUUGGGGACGGCCAUGAACUUGGCGUAGCAUGGUCGUCCCAGGAUUGCGUGGUAGGUUCCUGGGAACCCGACCACGUCGAAAAUGAGGACCUCCCGUCUGAAGUUGUCGGGGUCCCAAAGCAGACGGGCAGAUCGAUCUGCCCGAGGGGGUGGGCACGAUGUCCCGGCACCACUCCGUGGAAUGGCGAUGUGUCGUUCCUCAGCUGGGACUUGCUGAUCCCCAUGAGGGCCAGAGUCUCGGCAUAAAGGAUGUUGAGGCCGCUGCCUCUGUCCAUCAACACCUUGGUAAGACGAGUCUCGGUGAUGAUGGGGUCGACUAUCAAAGGAUAACUCCCGGGAUUGGGGAUUCGAUCCAGGUGAUCCUGUCGGUCGAACAUGAUUGCGCUCUCGGACCACUUGAGGAACGAGGGCACAGCCGUGCUGACUGCGCAAACUUCCCAGAGUUCACGCUUCCUCUGACUCGUGUUGAGGCGAGCCGCGCGUCCCCCAAAGAUCAAGAGACAGUUCUUGAUCUUGGGUAAAUCUUCCCCUUGAGGGUCGUCGUCCUUGGGGGGCUCUUCAGUGCCCUCCUUGGAGAUGAGGUCGGUGUAGUACCGACGCAGGACAGUGCACUCCUCAAGGGUGUGCUUGGUUGGUCCCCUGUGAUAGGGGCACGGCUUCUUCAACAUCUCGUCGAAGAGACCGGGGCCAGCAGGAGCCCGCUUAGGGUUCUUGCGAUCUGCCGCGGCGACUAGGUUGUCGCCCGACUGACCCUGCUUCCCCUUGCGACCCUUCUUCUUCUUCUUGGGGUCGCGCGAGCCUGAGGCCUCGGUGGCCACGGCCUUUUGUUUCCCCUUGGCAGCGCUGUCGGAGAAAAUGGCACCGACUGCCUCCUCGCCUGAGGCAAAGUUGGUGGCGAUGUCGAGCAGCUGGCUAGUGCUCGUGGGGGUCUUGCGACCGAGCUCGUGUACCAGCUCCUUGCAGGUGGUACCGAAGAUGAAGGCUCCGAUGACGUCGGAGUCCAUAAUGUUGGGGAGCUCGGUGCAUUGCUUGGAGAAUCGCCUGAUGAAGUCUCGGAGGGAUUCAUCGGGCUUCUAUCGGCAGCUCCUGAGGUCCCAGGAGUUCCCAGGGCGCACAUAUGUGCCCUGGAAGUUCCCGACGAAGAUCCUGACCAGGUCGGCCCAGUCGUGGAUCAUGCGGUCGGGGAGAUGCUAGAGCCAUGCUCUGGCCGUAUCGGCCAGAUGCAGUGCAAGGUUGCGGAUGAUGAGCAGGUCAUCAUCCGCUCCACCUAGCUGACAUGCUAGGCGGUAAUCCGCCAGCCAUAGCUCAGGGUUAGUUUCCCCUGAGUAUUUGGUCAGGUUGGCGGGCUGUCGGAAUCGCGCCGGGAACUUGGCUCUACGUAUGGCCUCGCUGAAGACGCGGGGACCCAGGGGCUCUGGCGAUGCGCUGCGGUCGUGGUCAGAGUCGUACCUUCCACCUCGGUGCGGUCGAUAGCGUCGAGACUCGGCCUCGUCCCUGUCGCGCCGUCUUGCCUCAAGGGUUGCCCGAACUUCAGCGUCAGCCCCGACGCGCUCGUGGACAGAUGGGGCCCUGUUGCCCCCUUGCGGAUUAGGGGGCGGUGGACCCUGCACCGUUGGUGCCUUGUUAGGAGGGGGUCGGUCCUCUUGACGUCUUGUGCCGUGGGACUGCGAUGCAGAACUUUCUGCGUUCUGCACCAUAGCAUGCUCUAGGAGGCCACGUAGCCCCUAGCGAACUCUUCUUCCCUCAGGAGUCGACGGCUCAGGCAUCGCCCUGAGGAGGAGUGCAGCAGCCAUCACGUUCUGGCUGGCCGUACUAAAAACUAGAGCGUCACCCCCUGCGUCCUCAAUGAUACGACGGUUGACGUCUCGAGCUCGGCGUCUAGCUUCACCCCCGUCCCCGCGGCCGGAUGUGUCUCGGACCAGGGUUUCGCGAAGUUGGCGGAGGCGUGCGUGUUCUUCUUCGAGCCUGGCCUCCAGCUCAUUAAGCCGCUCGAGGUCAGGGCGGUGUCCUCCUACGGGGGCUGAUGCUACCCCACGGGCUCCAGGAUCGGUCCCGGGAGUAGGGUUGGGAGGUGGGGUUCCAUUCUCCUACCUAGAGGGUCCUGCACCCCCCUGAGCGUUAUGCGGCGUCCCUCUGACCUCCAGGUUGAAGCACUCUCGUGACGGGUCAUAGCUCCCGUCGUCGGAGUCAGAGUAGCCGAGACAGUAGUUGCUGGCCUCCAAGAAGCGCAUGAAGGUCUCCGGGUCGCCACACCCGGAAAAGUCAGCGCCGGCCCACUCGUCAUCACCUAAGGUGAGAUCCUCUAGGUAUGACGAGACGGGCGGCGAAGCGAUAAGGUCUAGGGCAGACCUGAGAUGGUGCCCUGGAAGGUCCGCAUACGCACUUAACAAAGUGCUCACGGAAGAGGCGUACGUGGCGGCUGCGUUCCUCAGUCCAAAAGGGAGCUCUGGAGACGCUGUUGUUUCUCCUCCAUCCAUAGGUGGAGGGGGAUGAGACGAUGAGGCCCCUUUGUCCCCCUUCUGGGGAGCGAGCGUGGGCUGAGCCUUCCCCUUCGACCGGGGCGGAACAGGAGGUCGUGAUGAUCCCCUGUUGGUCCGGGGAGCGGAGCUUAAUGCCCCGCGAGCCUUUCCUCUAGCGCCUGUCGGGCCGGAGGAACGGGCGAUCUGGUGAGGAAUAUGCGGGGGGAGGGCCGGACGGACCCUGGCCUCAGUGGUAGGGUCAGAGAUCCUGGACCUCUGACGCCCCCGCCGGGCAGCCCCCGCAUGGUGCCCCGAGCGCCUCCCACACACUAACUGUGGUGGGAUCGGCUCAGGACGCGGCUCGGUACCACCACGUGGUGGAAGGAGGACCAUGUCAUAGCCGGAGCCGAGGGACAUGAACUCCAAACUCCCAAACAUCAUGAUGGUGCCGUGGCGAAGUGGGUGAAAUCCGUCUGCCAUCCAGGCCUUCCCUUAGUAGGAAAAGGUGGAUAUCACGCAAAAGGCCCCUACCUGGCGCGCCAACUGUCGGCGUCUAGACUCGUGGUCUAGACACAAACGAGUAUAAAUAUGAGUGACUACCUAAACCUGGAUGGUGAUGCAAGUGGAACACAGAGGAUUUAUACUGGUUCGGACCAAGAAUGCCCUACGUCCAGUGAGAUCGGGGGUCUGUAUUGCCUUGCACCCAGAGGUGCUUGUAGUAGGGGGUACAAGCAGGUUGCGAGAGAGGGCUAAGUCCCAAGUCUCGGCUUUGUGGUGGACAGAGUGCUGGUUGCUACUCUGUGAGCGAGUGCGGUGGUCGUGUGUGUGUGAACUUGGUGAACCUGGACUUAGUUGUGAGCCCUGGCUCCCCUUUUAUAGCCUCAAGGGGAGACUGGUAUUUACAUGAGUAGAUUUCCUCUGUUGAAUGGUGAAGCCACAGUCCCGACCCUAUUGAAGCCUGUCCAUCUCGUCCUUGAGGGAUGGCUGACAGCAUGGUUGCUUCUGUGGAGGGUUACCGAGCCCUGUAGGAGUCAUGGGGGUCAGAUCGGUGAUACUGCUGAUCACCCUAUUAAUAGUGGGAGAAGACAGCAAACAGUGACGCUGGUUAACCUUCCUCAUUCCUCUUUUACUGUGAGGCAGUACACCACAGUGAAAGAGGUAAGGUUGCAUAGUGGAAGAGGUAAGGCUACAGUGACCAGGGUGGUUGGAAUAGUCGCCACCAUGCCCUGCUGCGAUAUGGGAGUCACUGCGGCUGUCACAUCGAGGGUACGGGCACCGUGCGUCGGAAGCCUUGUCCUGAUGCGGUGGAGCGGCGUUUGGCGCCUGAGCCCCGGAGGGGUCGGGCGAGAUGAAACUUAUGCUCGAGGCCUGUUGACGGUCCUUAAGUAUCAAAUUUAAUUAUCAAAUAAAUAAAGAAAAGGAUCCAAAUGAAAUCAACAUCUAGACUUAGGGUUUUAUGUGACAGAAUUCCACGAGUUUUGGUGUUUGUCUAUUUCUGUAGGGGGUUAUCAGGAAAUAUGGAAGAAAGGCCCACACGUCGGGAUUACAUAGAGAUAUUAACGUGCCGCGCAAUUAUCUUACAUCUAGAAGACUCCAGAAGCCACGAGACCGAAGCGGAGGCGAAACGGGGCCAGAGGCAGGGCGCCCGCCCUCCUGCCCUGGGCGCCCGCCCCCUCCCUGAGUCCAAUCAGGACUCUGCUUCGUGGGAGAUCUCCACCGACCUAAAGGAUGAAUCUAAACCAUACAAUCUAUGUCGGUUUGAUCCAAUGGCCCAUAUUCACUUGAAGAGACUAUAAAACCAGACCCCCUGGCCCCUAGAGGAGAGAGCCUCUCAACCCUAAUUCAUUGUUCCUCAAGGGAGAAGAAGCCUCUAAUCAAGAUUAGAGCCACCACAUCAAUUAGAUAUCUAGAUUAGCAUAGCUACAUAGGAUUAGAACUAGAAGGAGUCAAUCUUCGAUUGGUUUCCGGAUCUGUCAGGAGGAUUCUUGGUAAUUCUCUAAUUGUGCUUCUAAUUGUUCUUCUAAUUAUCUUUGUUCUUCAAUAUUAUGAAUAUGACUUUGUUCUACUUCAAUAUAUUGCUUAUGACUUUGCUCUACUUGCUUAUAUUCAAGAUUAUAUUGUUCUUAGUUUAUCAUAGUUAUGUACUUGGCUUAGUUAGAUUGGAUCUAUAUACAUGCUUAGGAUCGUAUAGCGUUUAUCCAUCGGAUCCAUGGGUAAAUGAUAGAUAUUGUGUAGGCGUGGUGCUUAUACCGUAUUUAUCUGCGAUUGUACCCAAUAUGCCAGAUCGUGGGGUGGUUCGUGAUAGUGACAGCUUCAUUGAUUCUUAUAUAGUCCCUCUCUCGUGUAUUGGGCUGGCAGAGCAACAUUAUUACAGGGGAGUGAUUGCUAUGUUUCUCAUAUUCCUUGCUAAUAUCACUAUGCAUGGGCGUAGUCUUGUCUCGCAAUGAUUGCUAAGUAUGCUUGCACUAACUAUGAUAAUGCUAGACUAUAUAGUUAAGAAUAACUUAGGGAAUAUUCUUGUAGUUCGUUCUAAUACCAUGCUAAUGACUUUCUAGAGUAUCUAAUUGAGGUGCUUAUCAUAUUUAUUAUGUGGCUAGAUCAGAUUAGUUAUCCUUGUCACUAUUAUUAUUUCAUAUAUCUUUUAUGUGACACUUAUCCCUGUAUGAAGAGUUAGAUAUAAUGUUCUCAAUUAUACAUGCAAUGAUAGAUGCUCAAUCUCAUAUUCUAUUCUGUAAUCAAUAUUGAUGAUUGCUAAUCCCUUCCCAGUGGUAAAAAUAUAAAUAACGAUACCAGGAAUACUUUUCGGUUAAAAUGCUGCAUCGGUAUUAAUCUGUGCGCUUGCAGAUCCCAUUCAUUAUUUAUUUAGAAGAGCAAUUGCAUAUUUCAAUACCGCGUCUCUCAUGUCAUGCUGGGGAUGACAACUUGGCUUAAGUGGUGUGAGGGAUAGGUUUGGCAUUUUUGGCACCGUUACUAGAUUUAGAGAACUUAGUCUACUUUUGGUAAUGAUGUUAAGAAUACCCAACAAGCAUUUUUGGCGCCGUUGCCGGGGAAGGUUGAUUACUAAUCAGGAAUGGAAUAAAAGAUUUCGAGUUAUCAUUCGCAUCACUAAUCUGAUUGAGCUUAUCUAUUCUCUCAUACAGUUUUACCCUGAUAUUUUUCUAUUUUAUCUUAUGCAGGGGAAUGUAUGAAUAGAAGACAUCUUCCAGGAAAUUUUGUUGACAAUCCCGAAGCAUUAUUCAAGAAGACGAGAGCCAAGCUGAAGAAGAGAUCAUCAACACUUUAGCAAGAAGCUUCAUCCAAUCAAGAAGAUCACCGGAACCUGUCUUCAGAGUUCGAAGCCAUGGUGAACAAAUCAAUCCGCGAGUUCUCAACUCCCACUACGGACAGCAUCCGCACUGGACUUGCUGCAGAGAUCGACGGCAACUUUGAGCUCAAGCCUGGACUUAUCAACAUGGUGCAAUCCAACCAGUUCCGUGGGAAGGCACACGAAGAUGCUAGUGCUCAUUUACAACACUUCCUGGAGAUUUGCAACACAUUCACCAUAUCAGGAGUUUCCAAAGAUGCUAUACUACUUUGCCUCUUCCCAUUCUCACUGUUAGGGAGAGCGAAGCAGUGGUUCUACGCUACAAAGGAGAAGAAUACUACGUGGGCACUCUGCUCAACAAACUUCCUGGCAAAAUUCUUUCCCAUGGGCAAGACCAAUGCUCUCCGUGGGAAGAUUACAAGUUUUCAGCAACAAAAUGAUGAAUCUGUUCCAGAAGCAUGGGAGCGCUUUCAAGACUACAUCCUAGAAUGUCCCCAUCAUGGAAAGGAGAGUUGGCUAUUGAUGCAGACGUUUUAUCAUGGGCUCGGCAACAGUGCCCGAGAAACCAUGGAUGCUGCAGCUGGAGGAGCAUUCUUAUCACUUACUAUACCACAAGCCACAACUCUUGUGGAGAAGAUGGCGUCCAACCAAAGCUGGAAUGAAGAGAGGACCCAGACACGCAAGAGAGGUGGAGGUAUGCAUCAGUUGAAGGAGGUAGACAUGCUGUCUGCAAAGCUAGACCUGCUCAUGAAGAAGCUUGACGAUAGAGCUGGAGAUAAGAAGGAAGUUAUGCACAUCUACGACUCUCACAUGACUUGUGAGGAGUGUGGAGACACUGGACACUCAGGCAACCACUGCCCUGAGAUGCUUGAGGAUGUGAACUACAUCAUCAACAACAACUACUACUACUACAACCGUCCUCAACAAAAUCAAGGUUGGAAUCAACAGAGGCCUAACUACUCAGGUAAUUAUCAAGGUAACAAUUCUUACAACAAUAAUAAUAAUUUUCCACCUCUGAGAGAGUUAGUGUCUAAUCAAGGAAAGCUAAUGGAUAACCUAUCUAAGAAGUUGGCAUCUAAUGAUAAAAUGCUAGAAAAUAUAAAUAAUAGAAUGGAUAAUUUCUCUACUGCCAUCAAGAAUCAAAUUAGCUUUAAUAAAAUGAUUGAAUCUCAGUUAAAUCAAAUAGCUGUUGCUGUUCCCGUUACUAACCCCGGUAUACCAUCACAACCGGAAGGAUUAGAAUCUGCAAAUCUUGUAGACAUGCUUGAUGCAGGUAAUAAUUGGAGUAACCCCGUCACUGAAUUCUCUACUGACCUUCUGCCGGUCAAGAGAGGCGAUCCAGGACGCCCCGUCAUCCCGAUCUCCAUCGGCAUGGUGGACGUUCCAGAAGCACUCUGCGACUUUGGCUCUAGCGUCAACAUUAUACCCAGGGUACUCUAUGAAAAAUUCUUUACAUAUCCUUUAUUAGAAACAACCAUGUGUUUGCAGUUUGCAGAUCAGACGAUAACUUUUCCAAAGGGAAUAUUGAAGAACCUUUGUGUCCGAGUUGGUACCUUAUAUGCUCUAGCAGACUUCGUAGUGGUAGAGACCGGAAAUGAUGAGAGAGCACCUAUCAUCUUAGGGAGGCCAUUCUUGAACACCACGGGAGCUAUCAUCUACGCUAGUGCUGCCAAGAUCAGUUUCUACGUCAAAGGGAGGAAGAAGACAUUUUUCUUCAAGAACAAGACUACACAAAUUCCAAAUCAAUCCAGACGUGAAUCAAGGAAGAGGACCAGCAGGAGGAACAGGAACAAGCAAGUGUGGACCGAGUCAGCUAAGAUGGUCACUGUAGUUCAUGGAGGCCAAGAUCAUCAACUUAAGUCACCGCUUUUGACCAAGAAGGACGACCCAGGAAUGCCAAGCAUCUACUGCUCCAUAAAUGGAUACAACUUCUACAAGGCAACUUGCGACACCGGAUCGGGCGUCAACAUAAUGGCCGCAGUCACCUAUCGGCUCUUGUUCGGGACCAUGCCCCUAAGACCAACAUACAUUCAGCUCCAGAUGGCAGAUCAGACAUUUCGAGAAGUUAAAUGAAUAGUAACUGAUGUCCCAGUCAAAAUAGACGAUCACUUUGUCUACACAGACUUUCAAGUUAUUGACAUGGGAGAAGACGAGUAUGAUCCACCCAUCAUCCUUGGAAGACCGUUCCUCAGCACCGUUAAAGCAAUUAUCUACAUUGGAACCGGAGAAGUCCAUAUGCACUUCCCCUCAGAGAAGGUACGCCGUUAGUUUACCGACCCUAACUAUAUCAUUGAAGAAUCUAAGCAGAUAAGCAAACGACGCAACCGCAACCAGAGGAUGCAGAUCAUCAAGGACGGAUGGGCAGACUAUGAAGGAGAAGUUGUAAGGUCAGAAGACGUAGAGUUUAAACAGAAUUAUCUAGAGGAGACUGAAGCACCAAGUCAGGUGUGGAAAAUGAAGAUAACUAUACACGAAGAGGAGGCGCUGCCGGAAGUACCGACUACGCCACCCAACGAACCUCAGGACAAUUGAGAAAAUGGAGAGUCCCGUUCGGAGGACUUAAAAACACCGAACGCCUUGCCAAGAGGUAAACUUGGUAGUUAUCCUUUCCCUUUCAAUUAUUUUAAAUAGUUUAUUUAGUUAAUCAUAUUCAUACUAUCCUAAAAAGAAAAUAAAAAUGUAAAAGAUAGUAAGCCCCAUGUGAGUAGACGAGUGACAUAAAACCCAUAAGUACAUUCACUGUGGUGGCAUAAAAAUAAAAUAAAAAUUUCUUUUCUGCUUUAUAAAAUAAAAAUAUAAAAACAGGGAGUAAUAAUUAUUAAGGAGUCUCAACAUGAUAAAGGCUAGAUAUUUAUGCUAACACUUAAUCAAGUUCCACAAGCUUUGUUGUCUAUUUGAGCUCCACAGGAUUUAAGAAUCAAGAAGACUAAGGACAUUCUAAUCGCUGUCAGAAUGCUGCUGACUUUCAAAUACACCUCUGCCACCUGCUAGCUACAUCAAAAGAAAUUACGUCAAAAUUCAGCUUGGGGGAGAGCACCCCCAUUUAUCCCGAUAAGUAUUUCUAUCUAUCUAUCUUUAUACUUAUAUUAUUUUAGAAUAUAAAUAUAGAUAACUAUGAAAAAAUCAAAUAAAGAUUUCGUACUUAUAUAUUUGCCUUUUGCUUAGUGUGUUUAAUAAAUAAAUAAAGUGGCUAUGCUAAUCUGUAUCUUAAUAAUAAAAUUUAAGCAUGGAUAUGAUGAAUAGUUGCUCUGCCUAAUUUGCACAUUUUAAGUUCUCUCUCAAGUUUAGACAUAACUGUUAUAAUUUAAAUCUUGCCCUUGACCUAAACUUGUGGGAUGAAAACUUGAUCUGAAGUCUAAGUUGUUAACGGAUACGAUAUGGGAAGGUUGAGCUGCUGUUUAUCUGUUCCUGGAGAAUUUUAUCUUUGAAAAUCUUUUAAAAUAUUGCAUGAUGAGUUCCUGUAUGAUGAGAGUUUUAAAUUCCUACCACAGCCAUAUAUACAUGCUUGCUAGACUUUGAGCCACACAUUUACUAUUUACUCCUUAUGAGCAUUGAGUGUGGUCAAGCUGUGUAGACCCUUAGGAGCUUGUCAUGUAGUUAAAUCAAGAUUUCACUUGCACGUUCACUCAUAUAUGCUACUUCUACUCCAGAAAUACCAUCCACAUAUAUCCACCCAUUCCAUCUCCAGAAUCACCCAAAAAUAUUCUACUCCUAAUCCGUGAGAGAAUAGCCAAAAAUAUUUCUGUUUUCCCUUGUGAAAUAAAUGCUCAAGUUAUCUUGUUACUACCACUUGCUAUAUUAUCUCAAGAGAUGAGUGCUCUAAAAAAAGAGAGAGAAAAAAAUACGAGAAAAUAAAAAGGAGCAAGUGCUCGGAACCUCGAAAGAAAAGAAAAAGAGAGACGAGAGGUAAAAAUGGACAAGUGUCCGACAGUAGAAUUAGGGGUACAAGAUACCCACCUGAGAGAAAAGAAAAUAUAGAGCAUCUCAUUCUCCUCAAAAAGCUUCAAAGUGAAAGGAAGGUAUGUAUCCCCUCAAAGAGCAAAGUAGAAUUAGACUUUCACCAUUGUUAUCACCAUCAUCACCAUACACCAUUCAUUCGCCACACAUGCACAUCUUGAUUAAACUUAUUGAUUUGUUUCUUUGGAUCCAUGGUUUGACUAUGCAAUAAAUGUCUUGUGAGUAUGUAUACUUUAUCUCCCACCUAUGAGCUCCAGAUAUUAAAGCCUUAUUAGAGUAGGGUGAGAGAGAAGGCAAUGUCACUAUGCUUUAUACCACAAAUACUACAUAUCUUGAGAGAAGGCAUAUACCAUCACUGCCUUGGUAAGGAUCCAGAAAUACCACAAAAGAGAGAUCUUAGAGAGUCAUACAAAGAAUCUCUGAGUUUUAUUUGAAAAUCUGCAAAAACUCCAGAGCUAUAGCUGAUCAAGAAUAAGAGACAUGGCACUUGACUAGACUGUUCUAUCUUUUAACCUCUUAAGACAGAAGUGACGGUUACAAGUCCCAUGGUGAAGGUAAAGUAAGUAAGUUUUAAGUCUUGACAGUUUACUCUAACUCAGAGAUGAGAUCUUAUUUAAAAAGCAUGUGUACCGUCAAUUUUUAAAAUAUUGCAACAACUUAUGAUCCAUAGCUGAGUCUGUCCUUGCUCAGGGACGAGCAAGAGGUAAGCUUGGGGGAGUUUGUUGACGGUCCUUAAGUAUCAAAUUUAAUUAUCAAAUAAAUAAAGAAAAGGAUCCAAAUGAAAUCAACAUCUAGACUUAGAGUUUUAUCUGACAGAAUUCCACGAGUUUUGGUGUUUGUCUAUUUCUGCAGGGGUUAUCAGGAAAUAUGGAAGAAAGGCCCACACGUCGGGAUUACAUAGAGAUAUUAACGUGCCGCGCAAUUAUCUUACAUCUAGAAGACUCCAGAAGCCAUGAGACCGAAGCGGAGGCGAAACGGGGCCAGAGGCAGGGCGCCCGCCCUCCUGCCCUAGGCGCCCGCCCCCUCCCUGAGUCCAAUCAGGACUUUGCUUCGUGGGAGAUCUCCACCGACCUAAAGGAUGAAUCUAAACCAUACAAUCUAUGUCGGUUUGAUCCAAUGGCCCAUAUUCACUUGAAGGGACUAUAAAACCAGACCCCCUGGCCCCUGGAGGAGAGAGCCUCUCAACCCUAAUUCAUUGUUCCUCAAGGGAGAAGAAGCCUGAAAGCCCAAGUUUGGUUUUGGUAAUUAAUGACACCAAGUUGCUAAUGCCUUGUGUUUAAGUGAUUUGAGUUAGGCAUAGCAACACAUGUGAUGAAGGUGCAUGGUGGCAUGGAAAGGUGGCCACACGAUCACAAAGGGAUGAAUCAUGAAGUGGAGAUCAUGGUGAUAGACGAGGAGCAAAGUUAUCAAGGCAAAGGUAUAAACAUAGGGUUUUACUUUUGCCGGUCUAAGAUGAGUAGAGAAGUGAUUGACCGGGUUUAGAAUAGAUAGCCGACUAUCAAGAGGGGAAAUCACGGUUAUCUCUCGAAUCAAGUGCUACUAGGUCCACAUCUUGAGCAUAUGCAUUAGGAUCUAGUAAAGUGCUAACUUAACUCCUUUGGUAAAAAUAUUUGUGAAAAGCUAACACACUUGCACUUUGGUGGUGGACACUUGUUGAUGUUAGCACAUUUGCAAAGGAGGUGGAGUUCCUAGGGUUGAGAGGGGUGUGGAUUCGGCGCUUUUGAGAAAAAUAAGAGUAUAUUUUCUAUUGCGCCGAUGGGAAAUUUGGUGAAGUCGCGGGAGUGUUUUCUCACUGAGAAACACUCACCGGAUGCUGGGUGCGGAGGCACCGGACGCUGGCCUCAGAGUCCGGUGUGCUGUUAGAGCUUGACUCUGCUAGGGUUGAGCACCGGACGCACUCUGGUAGCGUCCGGUGGUUAGCGUCCGGUGUGAGGGGUUUUUGCAACCCUCUCUGCGCACGAGUCCGGUGAGCACCGGACCGUCCGGUGCCCAGCGUCCGGUGAGGUCGCGAGUUUGACAAACUCUCUGCGCAUGAGUCCGGUGUGCACCGGACACGUCCGGUGUGGACUUGCAGAGCGUCCGGUGUGUUGCAGGUAGCCGUUAGAAACUGACGCGCGAGAUUCAAGAUCGACACGUGGCCAACUCUAGUGCACCGGACGCAGGAGGUCGAGCGUCCGGUGCUCACUUAGUAGCGUCCGGUGCCCCCGUUUUCAGCCCAGUGAAAGUGGCCAACGGCUAGUUUCUUUGAGGGGCUUAUAAAUAGUUGGUGGCCGGCUUUGGGAGGCUCUCUCUUGCACAUUUGAUUAUUUGAGGCAUACAUUGAGCUAGAGAACACUCCUUCCACUCAUCUCCUUGCUUGAUUGCUCAUCCUAGUGAGAUUGAGUGAGAUUCAAGUGCAUUGCUUUGAGAGUUGCAUUUAGUGGCACUUGAUUCUUGAGUUUGCUGCGGAAUUCUUGUUACUCUUGGGUGUUUCCCGACGCCCUAGACGGCUUGGAGCAGCGGUGGUGUUGAGCUCGUGAUUGGAGAUUGUUUCGAGCCUCGCCAAGUGAUUUGUGAGGGGUUCUUGAGCCUUCCCCGCGGGAGAUCGCAAUUGGCUACUCUAGUGGAUUGCUCGUGGCUUGGAGGAUCCCCAUCUUGUGAGUGGAUGUGCGGCACCCGCUGAGGGUUUGGCUUUGGAUUGCCAAUUAGCUCGUGAUCCAUCUAAUGGGUGUAUCGCCACAACGAGGAGUAGCUUGCCGGGAAGCAAGUGAACCUCGGUAAAAAAUCUUGUGUCAUCUCUUGCCGAGGAUUCUCUUGUGAUUGUGAGUGAUUGGUUGGAUAUAUCUCUACUCUACAACGUUGGUAUAACAAUCACUCUCCACUCCUUUACUUACUUGUAUACCUAGCUAGUUGUUUAGCUUGUUUAGUUUAGUCUUCUUGUUUAGGAGUGUAACUAGCCUUCUCUUGUUGUAGUGCUUUAGUGUUUAGCUUUGAACUAGUUUGUAUAGGUGGCUUGCAUAGCUUAGUUGAGCUAGUGCUAGAAUUGCUUCGCCAUUUGUGUUACUAACUCACUUGCUUAGUAAAGUUUGUAGAAUUUUUAAAUAGGCUAUUCACCCCCCCUCUAGCCAUUUGGACCUUUCAAAGCCUCUAAUCAAGAUUAGAGCCACCACAUCAAUUAGAUAUCUAGAUUAGCAUAGCUACAUAGGAUUAGAACUAGAAGGAGUCAAUCUUCGAUUGGUUUCCGGAUCUGUCAGGAGGAUUCUUGGUAAUUCUCUAAUUGUGCUUCUAAUUGUUCUUCUAAUUAUCUUUGUUCUUCAAUAUUAUGAAUAUGACUUUGUUCUACUUCAAUAUAUUGCUUAUGACUUUGCUCUACUUGCUUAUAUUCAAGAUUAUAUUGUUCUUAGUUUAUUAUAGUUAUGUACUUGGCUUAGUUAGAUUGGAUCUAUAUACAUGCUUAGGAUCGUAUAGCGUUUAUCCAUCGGAUCCAUGGGUAAAUGAUAGAUAUUGUGUAGGCGUGGUGCUUAUACCGUAUUUAUCUGCGAUUGUACCCAAUAUGCCAGAUCGUGGGGUGGUUCGUGAUAGUGACAGCUUCAUUGAUUCUUAUAUAGUCCCCCUCUCAUGUAUUGGGCUGGCAGAGCAACAUUAUUACAGGGGAGUGAUUGCUAUGUUUCUCAUAUUCCUUGCUAAUAUCACUAUGCAUGGGCGUAGUCUUGUCUCGCAAUGAUUGCUAAGUAUGCUUGCACUAACUAUGAUAAUGCUAGACUAUAUAGUUGAGAAUAACUUAGGGAAUAUUCUUGUAGUUCGUUCUAAUACCAUGCUAAUGACUUUCUAGAGUAUCUAAUUGAGGUGCUUAUCAUAUUUAUUAUGUGGCUAGAUCAGAUUAGUUAUCCUUGUCACUAUUAUUAUUUCGUAUAUCUUUUAUGUGACACUUAUCCCUGUAUGAAGAGUUAGAUAAAAUGUUCUCAAUUAUACAUGCAAUGAUAGAUGCUCAAUCUCAUAUUCUAUUCUGUAAUCAAUAUUGAUGAUUGCUAAUCCCUUCCCAGUGGUAAAAAUAUAAAUAACGAUACCUGGAAUACUUUCCGGUUAAAAUGCUGCAUCGGUAUUAAUCUGUGCGCUUGCAGAUCCCAUUCAUUAUUUAUUUAGAAGAGCAAUUGCAUAUUUCAAUACCGCGUCUCUCAUGUCAUGCCGGGGAUGACAACUUGGCUUAAGUGGUGUGAGGGAUAGGUUUGGUAUUUUUGGCACCGUUACUAGAUUUAGAGAACUUAGUCUACUUUUGGUAAUGAUGAUAAGAAUACCCAACAAGGCCCAGGGGGUCGAGCGAGGCGGUGUCUGCGUCCGAGCCCUGGGGGGUCGGGCGAGACGUGUUUUGGGCUCGAGAUUGAGGAUGUAGAUGGACUGGGGCCUGCGUCCUGGUGAUCUUGUCGGGGCUUGCUUUGCUUUUUGCGAUUUUUUGUUGCUCUGAUCUGGGUAUCCCUUUUUAUGGUACCCAACACAAACCUGCAGAAGAUAUAUCACAGGACAGAUCAAGCUCAAACCCUAGAACAACUCAACAACAUAAGUAAGUAGAGAACAUAAACAGCACACGAUGAUUUAUCCCAUGGUUCAUCGGUCGCCACACAAGGCUGCACUUACUCCACGUUGUUGAGGUGCCCACACAAGGACCGACUCGCGCACAAAGGCUUGUCCUUCCCUCAUUCUUCAACAAGAGUGUUACCUCUUGAGGAAGGGGUGAUUUCUUAGCUUCAAGUCGAGGUUACAGACUUCUCUUGGCUGCCACACAAGUUGGCAAGCUCUAGGGCGACGUCUAGCCGGCUAGGAGCAAGCUCCAAGAGUAACAAACUCUAGGAAUGCCGACCAAACGUGAACCAAAUGCUCUUAGACUUUGGGAAACAGUGGACCUACUCUCUAAUCAAAGUUUGCAGCCUUUUUCUCUCAAGAAAUGAUGAUGGAAAUCAAGGAUUUGCUUGAGAGCUUGAUGAGCAACAAUGGAAGAGAGAGAAGUGAGCACUGGUGUUCUGUAACGGUUGGGACGAAGGAAGACGAAGUGAAUGGCUCAAAUGACCGUUGUGGUCAAGUAGGAAGGGUUUUUAUACCCUGUCUUCCAACGGCCAGAUAGAGGGCGGCAGUCAAACCAGCCAGGGUAGAACAAAGAGAACACAACUGAUUUGACUGAGGGUUGAGGAUGAGACAAAAGAUUUGAGCAUUAGGUUCAACACUUGAUCAACAGACUUGGUGACAUAUUUACCUAAGUAUACCUUUUGGUCCUUCAUUAUCAGUAUUAACAUAUUUACAUAAGUAUACCUUUUGGUCCUUCAUUAUCAGUAUUAACCACCAUCUCGAGGAAAUAUCACCAUUCAAAUUGUUGAGGGCAACACUUGUAUUUGGAAUCAACCCUGGUGCUCUAUAUGGAAAGAAAUGCAUAGUUUUCUAAACAUUGAUCAAACUGGAUAUAAAUUGCAAACAAAGUUUCUGACCUUUGGGUGCCGCACUCGAAACAAUGGGCUUGAGAAUUGUCAUUCUUUUUGGAUAAAAAAUAUUUUGAUACUCUUAUGCAUGUUCCUCUAUUUUUAGGCAAUGGCCUAGACAUGCAAUUGCAUGCAAUAUUCUGUUAUCAAAAUCAGAGGAGACACAAACAAGACAAUGUCCACCUAAGAAUGAAUUAUGGAAUUCGUGCCGGACAAACUAGUUCAAGCUAGAUUAAAUUCAUAUUAGUAAAUAGUAUUAACAUCUAUAUCUACAAGUAUUUUUAAAUAAAAAAAAUAUAUGUAAAGGCACUUAAGCCUUGUUUAGUUCCGAAAAGUUUUUAAAUUUGGUUAACAUAGCAUUUUCAUUUUAUUUAGCAAUUAGUGUCUAAUUAUGGAUUAAUUAUACUUAAAAGAUUCAUCUCAUGAUUUAAAGUCAAACUAUGCAAAUUAGUUUUUGUUUUCAUCUAUAUUUAGGCCUUGUUUAGUUCCAAAUUUUUUUGCAAAAUGGAUACUGUAGCAAUUUCAUUUUUAUUUGAUAAAUAUUGUCCAAUCAUGGACUAAUUAGGCUCAAAAGAUUUAUCUCGCAAAUCACAAGUAAAUUGUGCAAUUAGUUAUUUUUUUAUCUAUAUUUAAUGUUUUAUGUAUGCGCCGCAAGAUUUGAUGUGAUGGGGAAUCUGAAAAAUUUUGUAAAUUUUUUUGGGAACUAAGGCCUUGUUUAGUUACCCAUUCAAAAAGUUUUCACCCAUCACAUCGCAUGUUUGGACAUAUGCAUGGAGUAUUAAAUGUAAAUACAAAAAUAAACUAAUUAUAUAGUUUGGUUGGAAAUCAGAGACGAAUCGUUUAAGACUAGUUAGUCCAUGGUUAGUCGUAAGUGCUAAAGUAACCUACAUGUGCUAAUAAUAGAUUAAUUAGGCUUAAUAAAUUCAUCUCGCAGUUUCCAAAAGAGUUAUGUAAUUAGUUUUUUUAUUAGUAUCUCUUACAAUAUCUUACCAAGUAUUUGAUGUGAUACCAAAAUUUUUUUUGACCCCAAACUAAACAAGACCUAAACAAGGUAUUGCAUGUGUUCAAUGAUUCGAUAUAAUGUAUAGAAAAUUUAAUGUAUAGAAAAUUUUUAACUAAGGCUUUGUUUAGUUCACUUAAAAACCAAAACCUUUUCAUUAAGUAUAGAUAAAAACAAAAACUAAUUGUAUAGUUUGCUUAUAAAUCGCGAGACGAAUCUUUUAAGCCUAGUUACUCUAUAAUUAGAUAAUUUUUAUUAAAUAAAAAUAAAAAUGCUACAAUGUCAAAAUCUAAAUAAAUUUUGGAUAUAAACAGGCCUAGAAACUAAACGAGACUCUAGUUUCGCAGUGUCAUGAUGGCUACUAUUUUGUAUCACCGAUGUGAUGUGCAAUAGUACUGCAAUAGACGUCUACGCGCAUGGUACUGCAAGUCUGCAAUAGGCUGUAGGCAUGGCAGCGGUAGAAAAUUUACCACACCGAUGUGAUGUGCUGAUGACCUCUGAGUCUCUGACACGUGAACCCAGCGGAGCACCGGCACUCUACAGUAGCACGAGUAGCAGGAGGGCAGUUGGACAGGGUCUAAGUGAAACCCUUGUUUAGGCAUUGAUUAGUUCACCCUAAAAACUAAAAACUUUUUAAGAUUUUCUGUCAUGUAGAAUCUUGUGGUAACAUUAAAUAUAGAUAAAAAUAAAAACUAAUUAUACAGUUUAACUGUAAAUCGCGAGGCAAUUAUUUUAAGCAUAGUUACUUCAUGAUUGGACAAUAUUUGUCAAAUAAAAACGAAAGUGCUACAAUGUCAAAAUCCAAAAAAAUUUCGCAUCUAAACAAGGCCUUAGUUACUAAAAAUUUCAAGAUUUUUCAUCAUAUUAAAUUUUUGGACACAUAUAUGAGACAUUAAAUAUAGAUAAAAAUAAAAAUUAAUUGUAUAAUUUGUUUAUAAUUUAUGAGAAAAAUCUUUUAAAUUUAAUCAGUCUAUGUUAAAUACGGACGAAAGUGUUAUAGUGGUCAAAGAAAAAAAAAAAUUCACCAACUAAACAUUAAACCCAAAAUGGCGGUCUGCCUGAGAGCCUGGCGCGCGGGCAUGCAGUGCAGCCCAAUGCGGCUGGAAAUGCGCCAAGCAAAUAAAAAAUAUUUCCUCAAGCCCAGCCCAGCCCAGCCCAGGCGCGUUGCAGCGGGCGCAGCCAGCUUUUUCAGGGGAGGGCACGCACCUUCUCCCUUCCUGACGAAGAGAGAGAGAGCAAGUGCGUUCCAAACCCCCUCCUCCAACUCCAAACCCCCUGCUCCGACUCUGCGACACCGUCGCCGCCGGCCGCCGCGUCUGCUUCGAUGGCUGCGGCAAACCCCCUCUUCCCCGGGGUGAGUACCUCCAACGUCUCCUUCCCUUCCCCGGCUCCUUCUCUCUCGGUGCCGACAGCUAGCUAGUGUUGAAAAAACCCCAUUUUACGAGGAUGCACAGACCGUGCUCCAAAACCACCGUGCGGCCAUCCACACUCGGCGCCUGGAUGUGUCGGCGCCGGCGUGCAACCCCGCGUCCUCUCUCGCCAUCUCCGUGAAGAAAGGCGUCACUUUUCUUCACGGAGGUGGCGAGGGAGGACGUCGGGUUGGACGCCGGCGGGCGGCGACGGAACACGCCUCGCGCGUCCGCGGUAAACCUUGUCCUUCGCGCCAUCCACCCUCGCCGCCUGUAUGUGUCCGCGCCGGCGUGCAACCCCGGCAUUCCCUCGCCAUCUCCGUGAAGAAAGGCGUCGCUUUUCUUCACGGAGUUGGCGAGGGAGGACGCCGACGGGCGGCGACGCAACACGCCUCGCGCGUCCGCGGUAAACCUUGUCCUUCGCGGUCGGCAAAGCCCCGUGCGGCUGGGAGCACCCACCAUGCUUGAUCGAGCCCGUGCGGUUGGACGCCGGCGGCGACGGUGGGUCGCCGUGCGGGCUCGAACAAACACCAGGGACAAGUCGCCGUGCGCCGCAUGCCCUGACUCUGACCGGCGGCGGGCUGCUGCCUGGUCCGCCGCGGGCACUCUCCCCAGCUGGACGCCGAUGCUGGCUCUGGGCGGCCAAUGAGCGCAGUGCUCGCCAGGGCGUGCGCAAGCUAGUGAUUGAUGAUUGUCGUGAAACAAAGUAACCUGUUUGCUGAAUUGCUUCUGAUGAAAAUUUAGUUGAAUUGAAACACCGUGGUUUCUUCUGUUGCAGGCACCCACCACCGAUUGGUUUCUCUCCUAUGAAACCCAGGAAAUGGAGGAGCGCCACCAAGCUAUUCGGACAUGGCUCCAGAAUCAGUUGAAGGAGCUGGGAGUUGGCACAUUCGUUGUCAAUCACAACGGCGUCGAGAAAACCUUCUACCUCCUCCCCGAGCUCCGCGGCAGGUUCUUCAUCGUCAACUUGCAUGGUCCUAAUGGAGGAGAGCCGCUCCCAUUAGUGUUCAACUUUCACAAUCUCUACUUCGCUGGAUUUCAGCAAAACAACCGUUGGUUUGUGUUUGAUGACGCUGAUAUGCUUGGUAGUGGCUAUGAGCUGCCAGAAAAUGAAGAACACUGGAGGUUUCUGGGUUUCAGUGGAGGGUACACAGGAAAUAUGCUCAGUGGCGUGAGUCUGGGAAUCGAUCAGUUUGUGGCUGUCUACAACAUCCUCAUCAAGUACCCUGAUUACAAGAAUGGCCAGCGAAUCUAUGUGCAGAAGUCUUGCUUUAGAAUUAUGGCUGGUUUGUGUGAGAUCUGGCGCUUUCCUUGGUGGAACGACCGGGUAAUUGAGAUUCUCUCCUACUACGAGUCAUCUCCGGUGGACCAUCCUGGCGUCGUCGUCAAUACCUUCAGUGACCUGUUCCGUAGCUGGGACAAGCUUAGCGUACGCCUGCUGCUGGGCCCGCUUCUCUUCAAUACAUUGCCCAUCCUCUCCAGGUUCCCACAAUAUGGUCUAAUGAUGCCAGCAGUGGACAUACUCCUGAGGGAAGCAGUCGAGGAAGGUGAAGCAGAAGAGGAUUACUGAGUCCCGUCCAGAAACCAGCUUAAUGUUUUAGAUGUUUAAUAAGUCAAACUCAUGCAAACUGUUACUGCCUUUGCCGUCUGGUUUGUUGUUGGAAAUGUGUAGAUAUUCGGUGGCCAUUCUUCUGCUGCUGAUGCACCAAACUUGUACUGGUGAAUGCAAACUGUUCUUCCAUGCAUUGUGUUCCUCACUUUUAGUUGCAUUGGGUAUGCCAUGCCGUACAUUCUCUGUGCAAUGAUAUUCUGUUGUCUUCCCUGCAUUAUAUCUGUUAUGGGUUUUAGAUACAGAAAAGCUAUGCAGUAUGAAUUUUGAUGACUCCAUUAGCUUGUUUAUGUAGUUAGAUUAAAUGUGACAAUUGAGUGUCAAGUCAACAUUUCUCAUCAACUUAUUGGUUUCUCUUGCAAUAUGAUCUGCCUAUAUGCUCUGUUAUUUUUACCAAAGCUUAGUUGCUUUCAUGAUUGUCAAAGUUCAUUUUUUAAUGAAUGUAGCAAAGUUGGUGAUGGGUUCUUAAAAUAACUGAUUUUAAAACAUGUCUAGUUUUUCGAAGUACAAUCAGAAUCAUAGAAUCUGAACAUGAAAUUUGCAAAAGCAUAUAUUCUAUUGAUAAAAAAAUGUAGAAUCAAUCCCAUUAAUUCAGAUCAUAACCUUGACAGCCAUGUUAUGAUGAGUUUGAUAUGGUUGUUUUGAGUGGAAUAGUUUCUUUUAGUAUAUGAAUUAUACUGUUUGAGGGACAUUAUUUAUGAUGUGUUGUAGUAGUAUAAUUAGAAGAGAGGUGCUGCUAUGCUUUUCUCUACUGCAGUGACACUUUGUUAUUCACUUAUUCUGUGGGAAAACAGACAAUUUGGUUGCAACUGGCUUACUGGCGCAAUAAAAUUUUCAUUAAGCUACACAGUAUGCUAUGUAUAAAUUAGUUUUGUUUCUUGGCUGUUGGUAACAGAACAAUGAUUGCCUGACGAUGGUGUGUGCUGUGACUGUUACCUCUACAUGUGUUCUUAUACUCAUGGUUGGCUUUAGGAUCUCAAUCGCUUUGCUUCUUGAUUCAGGAUUUGGCAUCGUGUUUCUGUAGGUAGUAUUAGCAUACUAAACCGUUUUGUAACUUGUCUGUAAACGAGUUUAGCGCCUUUUUCAGUUUAUGAAGGGAUACCCAGCUGGGAUACAUUGGUUUGAAAAUCGUCGUUUCUUUUUGAGACGGUACCUGUUUGGCUAUGGUCUGGCACUGUAGUAACAAUAGGAACAUGGAUGAGGACAUGUGAUGCGCAAUGAUUUGAUGCAUCCUGGGACUGGUGGAGGUAAUACCAUGUGUUAUAAGAAAUGUCACGUAUAUACACUAAAAUGUAUAGCAUGCUUCCGUUCAUCCGUUUCUGGCAUUGCAGAAUACUACUGGCUGCAAUUCUGAUUUCCUAGUGCUGAUUUCUGAUUUCCUUCUGCACUGUGUUCCUCACCUUAUGCCAUGCCGUUCAUUCUCUGCAACGAUAUGCUGUUGUCUUCCCUGCAUUAUAUCUUUUAUGGGUUGCAGAGAAUAUACAAACAAUAGGGUGCUACCUCAGAAUCUAUCAAUGCUUUGCCUACAUAUAAAUUCAAAACCAAGAAACGCCGCCAUGGUGAAGCUGAUAAUGCCACCCAAACGUCCCAUCCGUUCAGUCCUCUCUUAGGCUUUGUUUAGGUCUUGGUUAGUUGUGAAAAUUUUUUGGAUUUUGACAUUCUAGCAUUUUUAUUUGUAUUUGACAAUUAUUGUCCAACUAUAGACUAACUAGGCUCAAAAGAUUCAUCUUGUAAAUUAUAGACAAGCUGUGCAAUUAGUUUUCGUUUUCGUCUAUAUUUAGUACUUCAUGCAUGUGCCACAAGAUUUGAUGUGACGGGGAAUCUUGAAAAGUUUUUGAAUUUCGGGGUGAACUAAACAAGGCCUUAGUUCGUAAAAAUUUUCAAGAUUCCCCACCACAUCGAAUCUUUAGUCGCAUGCAUAGAGCAUUAAAUAUAGACGAAAAUAAAAACUAAUUGCACAGUUUACCUGUAAUUUGUGAGAUGAAUCUUUUGAGUCUAGUUACUUCAUGAUUGGACAAUAUUUGUCAAAUAAAACGCUACAGUAGCCAAAAACUAAAAAUUUUGCGAACUAAACAAGGUCUUACAUUACAUGGCUCGGUUCGUUAUACCGAACCAGCCCUUUCUCCUACAUUUACGUGGCUCAGCUCAUUAUACCAAUCCACAGGUGCUCAGCAGAAUUGGGAAGGUUCAAAUUCUUUCGCUCACGGUGAAAGUUCAGUGCCACGCAAACAAUUACACCAUAGCUAUAGAAAUGAAAACGAGAGACAUCACAAUGGCAGUAAGUUGAAGU
rnacentral:lncRNA from 1 species